rnacentral:rRNA from 1 species
UCGGGAAUUUUGGGCAAUGGGCGAAAGCCUGACCCAGCAACGCCGCGUGAGGGAUGAAGUAUUUCGGUAUGUAAACCUCGAAAGAAUGGGAAGAAUAAAUGACGGUACCAUUUAUAAGCUCCGGCUAACUACGUGCCAGCAGCCGCGGUAAUACGUAGGGAGCAAGCGUUGUUCGGAUUUACUGGGCGUAAAGGGCGCGUAGGCGGCGCGGUAAGUCACUUGUGAAAUCUCUGAGCUUAACUCAGAACGGCCAAGUGAUACUGCUGUGCUAGAGUGCGGAAGAGGCAACCGGAAUUCUUGGUGUAGCGGUGAAAUGCGUAGAUAUCAAGAGGAACACCUGAGGCGAAGGCGGUUGCUGGGCCGACACUGACGCUGAUGCGCGAAAGCCAGGGGAGCAAACG